ensembl:miRNA microRNA 200b
GCCGUGGCCAUCUUACUGGGCAGCAUUGGAUGGUGUCUGGUCUCUAAUACUGCCUGGUAAUGAUGACGGC